rnacentral:rRNA from 1 species
GCCGCGGACGAGCCCGGGGGGGGAUACGGCGCACCCCCGCAGCUCAUCUUAUCUUGACACCAUUCUAUAAGCCCUUUUGCUCGUCCUCCGUCGCGGCGGCCCCCGCGGGCGACUGGCGUAAGGGCCUCACGCCCCCGUCGGCGUUCGGUUGCGGCCGCUGCGCGCGCCUCUCGCGCGAUGUCGGCGGCCCGUCCGCGCUGCCCGCCGAGACGGUACACGCGCCCCCCUCUGCCCCUCGGUGCCGACCCGGCCCCUCCUCCCUGGCAAUGCGCCGAUCGCAGAAUGGCGCUUACCACCGCCGUUCUGUAGUCCUGCGAUGCCGGCUCGCCCCGGCUCCCUCGCCUGGCCCGGGUCGUUGGUGCAUCUUCCCGGGCCCGGCUACGGCUUUGCUCUCGAGUGAUCCGGGCCGUCACUGCCCGCUCCCGUGUCGGACCCAUACCGGACGCAUCGGCGCUGUGUGGCGCAUGCGUGGUGUAGCGGUGAUCUGCGUCGCCCGAGCGCGGUGCGCUGUCGCCACACUUCGAAUCCGGAUGCUCUGGUACAAUGCCGCGGCUCCGUCAGCGUUAGAAUGGUCACAGCAGGNAACCGGGCGAGCCGGAAGACAUCUGCGAAACCCAAAGAAGUGCACCGNUUUGCANAGGNAGCAAAUCGCACANAAAAUNGNCCCAGCUUCAGAUCACGUUGGAACUCGGCGNCAUGAAGCCGGCAUUCGUUAUUAACGGCGCAUCAGCUNCGGCCCCGUGAAUACGUUCCCAAGGCCUUGUACACACCGCCCCGUCACAUCAUGAAAGCCGGUUGUACCCGAAGUCGCUGUGUUAACCGCAAGGAAACAGGUGCCGAAGGUAAGGCUGGUGAUUGGGAUGAAGUCGUAACAAGGUAA